AUGUGAAGGAAACAACAAAGUUCAGUCAUCUUGCUUUCAGCCAAGGUAGCUGCAAAUCAAUCCAUAAAUUGAUCAUUCACUUCUUUUUGCCGAAUCCAAGCUUGAAUACCAGAAAUGGAUGACCAAGAAUUGAUCAGUCACGGGAGAGACUUCCAGUCACUAGAUGACUAUCAAAAAGCCAUUGAGUAUCA